CUCUAGUUCUAUUUUGUUGGUUUGAGGACGGGAGUAAUGAUUAAUAGGGAUAGUUGGGGGCAUUAGUAUUCAGUAGUCAGAGGUGAAAUUCUUGGAUUUACUGAAGACUAACUAGUGCGAAAGCACUUGCCAAAGGAUGUUUUCAUUAAUCAAGAACGAAAGUUAGGGGAUCGAAGACGAUUAGAUACCGUCGUAGUCUUAACCAUAAACUAUGCCGACUAGGGAUCGGCGGAUGUCAGUUCUGACUCCGUCGGCACCUUAUGAGAAAUAAAAGUUUUUGGGUUCUGGGGGGAGUAUGGUCGCAAGGCUGAAACUUAAAGGAAUUGACGGAAGGGCACCACCAGGAGUGGAGCCUGCGGCUUAAUUUGACUCAACACGGGAAAACUCACCAGGUCCGGACAUAGUAAGGAUUGACAGAUUGAGAGCUUUUUCUUGAUUCUAUGGGUGGGGGUGCAUGGCCGUCCUUAGUGGGUGGAGGGAUUCGUCUGGUUAAUUCCGUUAACAAACGAGAC
rnacentral:rRNA from 1 species